AUUGAACGCUGGCGGCAGGCCUAACACAUGCAAGUCGAGCGAGCGGCGGACGUGUGAGUAAUGUGUGGGGAACUGCCUGAUGGCGGGGGAUAACUACUGGAAACGGUAGCUAAUACCGCAUACCAUCAGAUGAACCCAUAUGGGAUUAGCUUGUAGGUGAGGUAAUGGCUCACCUAGGCGACGCUCCCUAGCUGGUCUGAGCGGAUGACCAGCCACACUGGGACUGAGACACGGCCCAGACUCCUACGGGAGGCAGCAGUGGGGAAUAUUGCACAAUGGGCGCAAGCCUGAUGCAGCCAUGCCGCGUGUAUGAAGAAGGCCUUCGGGUUGUAAAGUACUUUCAGUCGGGAGGCGUUACCGACAGAAGAAGCACCGGCUAACUCCGUGCCAGCAGCCGCGGUAAUUC
rnacentral:rRNA from 1 species